GGGAAGGUGGCUCAGUGGUAGAGUGUUUGCCUUGUAUGCAUGAGGCCCUGGGUUUGAUUCCUCAGCAACACCU
rfam:Dipodomys ordii contig_88090, whole genome shotgun sequence.